rnacentral:lncRNA from 1 species
GGAUACCUGAUCCCAUCAAGCCUUGUUUGUGUACUGGUCAUGUCAGUUUACAGGGGAGGGAUGUUUCCUGGAAUUGCCCUGGGAUCAUGGGGCCUCCCUCCUGAGUCCUGUUUACAGCUCCCCCCCAGCCCAGUGCACUGAACGAGCGGCUGAGCUGAGCUCACAGACCACACUGAUCAGGGAUCAGGCAGAGGCAGUACAGGAAUCUCUUCCUGUGCAUCAAACUGAAGCAUGCAGCUACUGGGCAAACUCUGUGCCCUUAUCCUAACUUCAUCUCUCAUCCAACUGGAUAUCUACUGCCAGGGGCGCACAUGUAAGUAUACCCUCCCUGCAAUGUUUAACCCUCUGAGAUAGAUUUUGUAUCCCUUCAUAAAGUGUCCUGCCACCAAGAUCAUGGAGAUUGCUCUCGUUUUUAACCCCCUAAGGACCAAACUUCUGGAAUAAAAGGGAAUCAUGACAUGUCACACAUGUCAUGUGUCCUUAAGGGCUUAAGUAUAUGGACCUGGUGGAGACAAUGUGUGAACUACAAUGCUACAUAAGUAACCAGACACUAUAUACUGGAACACACAUGCUUCCUGUAGCAUUCCAAGAGUUGAUACAUUCUCCUUAUUUUUGUGAUCACUCCUAUCUGAUUGCUUUAAAAAUCACAGGAGCAAAACAUAUUCUAAUCUCUACACCCUCUGUUUUGGAGAUACUUUUGCAUUGGCAGGAAACAAUAUAUUGAAUCAUUUUCUUUUGUUGUCUGAGUUGUUAUGGAAGCUGUGUUAUGUCUGCAGUGUAACCCAGGUGAGCAGAGAGCUUCCAGACGUGACUAGUGGAUUACAGUGAUGAUAUACAUUGUGUAAGAGCAUUAUUUUGCUCUUAGAAUAUGUAAGGUAUUAAGUAUAUCCUGAGAGUUAAAGGAACAUUUAGCAUGCAGCUUAAUCUCUGUAGAUAGCCUGUACACAGCCACAGUGCAAUGAUCAAGAGCUUGUGUCAUAUACACAGCCAGCUUACUUUUUGUUCUGUUUGAUUCCAUUGUUUGUUCACCCCUGUUAUCAUAGGUUGCUCUGUACACAUUCACUCACCAGUGUGGGUUUUAUUUAUCAAAACUAAGCCCAGGCAGUUUGAGAAGAAUUGAUUGUUCUAUAUUUAUAAAUGGCAAGAGUAGUAUUGAUUUCUGGGGUACUGUUUACUAAAAAAAUCAGUUUGCCCUAUUUUUUCUUUGGAUGAUCAUAACCGCCUUAAGUGGUAUUCACCACUAAAGGCGGUCAUGAUUAUGAAAAGAAAAACAGGGCAAAAAGAAAAUAAUCACAUUGCUUACAUUUUACCUGUAAGUAAAUCCAUACGUAACUAUUUACUUGUAAUAUACUAUAUACAUAUUGUAAACAUAAAUGUUUUGUUGUCACUUAAUUUUUCUUUCUUUAACAAUUCGUAGAUAUAUUAAUUCACUAACAGGAAAGAUAGAUAGAUAGAUGUGUGUAAUAUUCAUGUGGUUUAACCCUUUAACUUUAAUAACAGUUCAUCCAAUAUGUUUUGUCAACAAAAUUUUUUUUUCAUUCCCUUAUUCUAUCAUGUUUAACUGUUAUUACAAUUACAAUUGAUUUCAUUUAUAUGUAAUAUAUUUUAAGAUUUUACUAAUAAAGCCAAACUUCCCGAUGUGUUCCAACUCCCAAGAUUGUUCUUGUGUGGUUUUUAGAUAACCUCUUAUGGUAUUUCUCAAUAUGUAUGUGCAUUGAGAGCAAUGCCUACGCAUUUAGGGGAUUACCCAACAUUUCUUGCUAAUUCUUAUUCAGAGUGUUAUCUAACUUUUGACACAAAUGCAUACAUUUAUAUAUGUUGUGAAUUAUGCUGUAUUACACAAUUACUUGGUCGUUUGCAGUAAAGAAUUCCCCCACAUGAUUUUCCAUAGGAACAAAAUAUGUGCGCAACAUUUUGUGUUGUUUCUGUUUUGAUUUGUGAUGCUUAGUAUAUAAUAUUCUCUGUUACCCGUAGUGUGCAUUUUCCUGUAAUAGCAAUUUGAUUGUUAUUUCUUAUAGUCACUAUCACACACCUCGCAAUAUUUGAAAUGGACAAAGAAGGCACUUUAUUAUGAGAAACAUGAGAUAGGUGACUUACUAAUAACAAUUUAUACAAUCAAAAUAUAAAUGAACAAUGUAUCUUACUUAAGGCUGUCUGAUUUCUAAACAUAUUUACUGUCAUUUAAAGACACACAUUGUGAGUAUUAUUGCUGUGGAGCUCUGUUAUACACUCAGACACACCAACAGUGUGGAAAAGAGGGACUUUAAUAUAGAAAAGAGGGUCAGAGGGAUUUGGACUGAAAAUACAGACUCUCCUUCCUGAAUAGGGACACUUGGGAGGUAUGUCAUCAUGUUGGGGGGUUAUUCUCACUACAAUGUCCCUAAACAGAAAAUCACACUAAGACAAUCUAGGCCUACAAUUUCUCUCUUCCAUGAACAAUCUUUGAGGCCUACUACAAAUUUAGGGGAAUCAUGCGUGGUCCAACAAUUUGAGUCCAAUUGCUGCAAAAAGAGUUUGAAGGCGGCAAAUGAAAUAACCUUGCCUCAAAAUAUUUAUUUAUUUAUAAAAUAUUUUACCAGGAUGGAUACAUUGAGAUUUCUCUCGUUUUCAAAUAUGUUGGGGUACCUGAUAAAUAAAUCAGUUUAAAAAUGAAUAAUUAAUUAAGAACAACCCUAACAUAUAAACUAAUAUUAUAGUAAUAUGUGAAACCUCUCAGAUUUAAGAAUCCUUGGAAUGAAAUAUAUCUAAUAUUAUGCAAAGUAACACAGAACCCUAUCAGGGGCAUGCACAGUCAAUGUAACAACAUAAUAUUCUGCUGAGCUGGUCUGUGGACCAGUGAGUUAGCACCCCGGCAGUUGUUAUUUGGUAAUAUACCAAGGAAAAUGUAAAGGAAUGUUUAAUAGUUCAAUAAUAAUGUUCAAUACUUUCUCACCACUUUAUUUGUUUUAUUUACUGUGACAAAUUUAGUGUAUAUUUGCCACUUAUGCAUAUCCCCGAACGUUUCAAGUAGCCAAAGAUAAUAUUUUACACACUCCACACAUUACUGAAAUUUUUUUCAAUUUAGCCAUUUAAUGCACUCAUACAUCUUUGAUACAAUAGUCACAUUAUUGUAUUUUUAUUGCAGUGAAGCCAUGCAAUACACUCAUAUACUCCCCCAUGAGUGCAGUACGUGUGUGUGGAGGGAGGACAGAGCUUCCCUAGAUAAUCUAGAGAGGAGAAUGAGAUCCCACCAGUCAUGAUGAUGUGACUUUUAAAAUAUUAUAUAUUACUGUUGGAAUAAUAAAACAUAUUUUUAAGGAGUUCAUUAGCUUUUUCACAUAGCUCUUAACAAUUACAUUUCAAUAAGAUGCAAAAAUAGCAGUGGGAAGACUGACCUAAAUAUACUAUAAAUGUAAACAUGCAUUUGUAAAAGUUGUGCACCUUUAUUGAAUAAUUGCUUUAUUUGUGAGAAAUUGCAGGAGUAUCCUGGCCACCCAUUCUAAGAAGCCAAACUGCUUCAGUAAUGUCUGCAAAUCCUCAAAUGUACGCAGAUGACACAGUAAUCUAUGCUAGCAAAUCCAAUCUAUCGCAGCUUGAGGCUGUGCUCAAGACCAGUUUACAGAGGUAGAAAAGUGGAUCGCAAAAAACAAACUCUUCCUAAACACUGACAAAACUGUCACAAUGAUCUUUGGAACAGUACCUAAAUUACACAAAUUACACAAUUCCCACCUAUCCAUCAAAACAAAUUCAAAUACUUGGGUAUGUUGUUAGACCCCAAUCUAUCUUUUGGCCUCCACAUAGAAAAACUUGCAUCUAAACUUCAUCUGAAACUAGGUGCCCUGUACAGAAACAAAUCCUGCCUAAGCCCUACAGUAAAGGAAAAGAUUGUACAGCAAAUGCUGAUGCCAAACAUUGAUUAUGGGGAUGUAGUAUAUGCAAUCCCACAUUAAUAAACUCAAUACAUUGUAUAACUCGUUCUGCCGAUUUGUGCUACAAUGUAAUUACAGCGCCCACCACUGUGACAUGCUAAAAGAACUAAACUGGCUGUCGCUGAAAUCCAGACGCACCCUUCAUCUUUCUAGCCUUGUUUUUAAGAGCUUUUCUGGGAAACUCUACCUGAACAAAAUGCUCUCCUCGGCUGUUCCUACCUCCUAUAACCUCCGAUCUAGUACCAACACUUUAUUUAGUCUACCUCAAUACAAAAAGAAAGCAGCCCGAUCCUCCUUCUCCUACAGAGCGCAGCAAUUGUGGAACGACCUCCCGCACAAUUUAAAAUCUUCCCUAAGCCUAAAGUCCUUUACGAGAUCCCUCUCUACAUACCUCAAAACAGAAUGCGCAUGUCAUGGUUGAUUAUAUAUUUCCUACCUGUUCUAUGUUAAAUUUGAUAUGUAUUGUGUAUUAAUAUUGUUUUUGUAUUUUAUUGUACCCGAAUGUAACAAUGCAAUGUUUUGUGGACCCAGGACAUACUUGAAAACGAGAUAAAUCUCAAUGUAUCUUUCCUGGUAAAAUAUUUUAGAAAUAAAUAAAUAAAGGAACACUAUAGAUACCCAGACUACUUCAUAUAAUGGAAGUGGUCUUGGUGCAGUGUGCCUAUUAACCUAACCCUGCAAUGUAUAGAUUGUAAGCUCAUUUGAGCAGGGUCCUCUUCAACCUAUUUUUCCUGUAAGUUUUUUGUAAUUGUCCUACUUAUAGUUAAAUCAUCCCCCUUAUAAUAUUGGAAUCUGUUGACUUUUAAAGGUUGGUUUUUCACAAUUAUACAGCAUGUUCAUUUGUGUUCAUUAACAUAGUCUAUAACUAUUAAAGUUUAAAUUGGAUGAGCUCAGUAUUGCUAAAGAGGACACAAUCUUGCUAAACUACACUCGCAAGAGUGAUCCAGAUAAUUGCAAUCACCCGGUUUGAGUAUCUUGAGGGUUUGGUUUCACGAACACAGUACGGUGGGAUCAGGCUGUGGUCAUGACAGACAGCACAGGAUUAGGCAGGCAAGAAGAGAAACUCAAUCAUCAGAGGCACAACAAUAACAACACACCAACCUUGAAGGUUAAAGGGCAACUGAGCAGGAGCAUUGAGCUAGGGAGUAACCUCUUUUGUUCCCUACAGCAAAAUUAGUGGGGAACAACAAAAAAAAAGCAAGAAAUAUACACACUAAAGACAACAAUAUUAAAUACGUAAGACUAAAUGUGCUCCCAGGUGUACCUCACAGACACCCAACAAAUAACUAAAACAAAGAAAAGUGGGAAAAGGCACCCAGUAUACUUAUACAAAAAAUUACAACAACCUGGAAAUAUGAACCAGGAUCUGUAGACCAAUUAGAGAUCUAUAAUAAUAGCAAACAAAACAUAGCGUAAUACAGUAAACAGUAGAGAAAUAUGUGAUGUAUCAUCUGUUUGUGAGUUUUCUACCAACAUCACAUAUUUCUCAAUUAUUUGCUGUAUUACACUAUGUUUUGUUUGCUAUUAUUAUAGAUCUCUAAUUGGUCUUCGGAUCCCGGUUCAUAUUUCCAGGUUGUUGUAAUUUUUCGUAUACGUAUACUGGGUGCUUUUACCCACUUUUCUUUGUUUUAGCAAAAUUAGUGGGGCUCUUUAUUCCUCAAAGCAACAUAAUCUACCUUUUAUUGGUCUGUUUAUAUGUUUGUACCAAUAGACGUAUUAGACAGUAACAGACACACAUGCACACCUGUCAGGACAUAUUUUGUAAGGGUGCAUUCUCCUUCUCACUGCAGCAUACAAUAACACAAGGCGAAGGUAGUCUACUUUCUCUGACUGACUGGAAGAAGCCAGACAUAACAUCUAAGAUCUACUUCCUAUUGUGUCAUUGGACGGUGCAAGCGCAUUCAUGGAAAACUGCAGCAGAUAUAAUUAAAUUUUUUAUAAUGUACUUUGUUUUAUAAAAAUCAUUUCAUUUUAUGAUUAUCACUAUAUUAAGUUAUAGGGAUCAUUAACUCCCCUCACCCGUUUACCUUUAUUACCCUGUUAUAAAUAAAAUAUUGACACCCAAAGUAUGGCAGAUAAUUGUUUAAGUUUGGCUACUAUACCUUAAAUUUGAAAUUAUCUGAACAUCUCCCAAUAAAUCACAUUUUGUGUUGUUUUUCAAGUCAGGGGAGGGAUGGCAACUUUUGACUUGUGGACCAAGUAUAAACAAAUGUGUGUUUUUUUGUGCAGAAAACUCACAGAUCUGUGUGUGGAUGGUCCUACUUACACAAAGCAGGCAAUAUAUGGAUUUAACAGAUGCAGACUAUUGGUGUUGAACUGUGUGGCAUCAUUCAUUCCAGUAACCGUUCAGCACGAUCUAAACAGCAUGUGAAGGAAUUCCCAUGGAUCUGCAUGUGCCUUUAAGACACAGACUACGUUUCCCAUGACAGGACUGGCAGUCAAGUAAAACCUUGAUACUGCAGUUUACUGGGAAAUAUUCCAGUGGGAUAGUCCAGGCCUGGAGAUCAUUGAGAUCACAGCCCACCAGCCCACUCAAAAGCUCAUACAGUGCUGGGCUACUAAUAGCCCUAAGUAAACACUCCCAGCUACCUCACUUUUGCAGUACUUUGCCAUCAGACAUCUUAACACAUCUUUCUAUUUUAACCCUCAGAGCAAUGGUGUGAGACUGCAGCCUCUGCUCUCCUUCUCCCCUCCGCCAUAGCCUACACUCCAAUUCUCGUGUGUCCAAACACUAGGAAGUAUAACGUGAGCAGGCCCUUAGUGGGCAUCACCAGUGAUGCAUAUUGUGUUAGUGGCAAUGCACAUAAUGGGCAGUCAUGUUUGAAAAGGGGCAUGCCUGGUCACUGAAUGGGCAUGUCAGUCUAGGACCCAGCACUCUAGGCUGAUUUACAGCCUGUCUGGCUGGACUCAAACAUAGAGAAGAAUGCAGAGAGCACUGUUAAAGGGAAACUAUAGUGUCAGGAAAACAAACUAGUUUUCCUGGCACUAUAGCUCUCCACUUUGUCAAGGGCCCCCCCUGUGAUACAGAAGGGGUUAAUAACCUGUCACCUUGGUCCAGCGCCGAUGUGCCUCAUGCUCCUCACUCAUCGACGUCAGCCGGUGGGGUAGACCUAAUAUGCAUGCGCAGCAAAGGCUGGUAGACAGCCGCUAUAGGAGGAGUUAACCCUAGCAGGUAAUUAUUGCAGUUUAUAAAAACUGCAAUAAUUACAUGCUCAGGGUUAAGGGUGAUGGGAGAUUGCACCCAGACCACUUCAAUAAGCUGAAGUGGUCUGGGUGCCUACAGUGUCCCUUUAAUAUGCUCUUUGCAUGGUCCUUGUGCCCACAGGACAAUGCAAGAGUUUCUAAUGAUGUGCUCAUGUUGUCUCAGAAUGUGGAACCAGGGAAGAUAAUUGGGAUGAUGGGACAGGAGCCUAAAAUAGGCACUGUCAUACUGAAUUUGGGAUUGUUGGGGACAGGCCUGAAUACUUGUAGUCCAGAUUAAACAGGGUAGGCAACCUUCGGCACUAUAAAUGUUAUGGACUACAUCUCCAAUAAGGCAGCAGGGGAGAUGUAGUCCACAACAUCAGAAUUGCUGAAGGUUGCCUAUCACUGAGCUAGAACCACAAGAUAGGCUAUACCUCCCAACUCCAAUGUCUUGAGACCUGGGGCACUGGUGGGGAAGAGGUAAAGUCCCACACCAGGCUGACCUGCUUAAAUUAAUGGCAGGUCAGCAUGGUGUGGGACUGUCCCACAGAAAUCGGGGAGGUUAGGAGGCAUGAGAUAGCCUGCUUAACCUUAUAGAAUGAAAAAAUAGAAAUAGAAAUGGUUACUAAUGCAUGCUUCUAGGCUGAGAUCAGCACAUGCAUGAUGCUCCUAUUUGGGGCCCAAAUCUCUUUGUCCAUCUUUUAUAUCCUGAUGUCCUUCUUUUCUAGGAGCUCCAGAUUGUUGGUGUGUCAGCGUAUAACAGAGCUCCACAGCAAUAAUACUCACAAUAAUAUGACUUUAAACUACAAUAAAUAUGUUUAGAAAUCAGUCUGGGUAAAUAAAAUACAUUGUUCUUGUUCUAAAUUGCAUUUGAGUUGCAUAAAUUGUUAUUCUUAAGUCACCUAAGAUUUCUCAGAAAAGCCAGGCUCCAGGCUCUUUGUCCUUUUGUUGUUGGGAGGUAUGCACAUUUUUUUAAAUCAUUUCUGGAGUCCUUUAAAUAUAUCCAGAUUUGAUGAGCUCCUUAUAUUUACAUAUAUGAUGCUGUUUUUUUUUUUAAAUGUCUGAUGUCAGAUUUUCCCUGGUGAACCAUUGAUGUUUAAUACUGGAACUAGGUUUGCACAUAUACAUGUCUUAUCUUCUCUGUGUCAGUACAUCAUAUUUCAAGAAAAGAGCUUAUUUAUAUGUUACUUAGUUGCUUUUAGAGAUUACUGCAUGUCCCCUCUGGUAAGUUCAGUGUGACAAACGCUCCUUACCCUGGACGUUUGUCAUGAACUCCUGGAGGAGCAUGCUAGCUAGCCUCCUGCCCAAGGACUAUGGGCCACAUACAAAGACCCUGUUCGGGAGUUAAAUCUCCCCAGCCUCCAAUACCAGCUUUCCCUGGGUGCCUGAAACUAAGGGUAACAAAUGCUACCUAAGAGUCAGCUGGAGCACCCUGUAUUGUGGCUGCAGGAGCUCCCGGGAGUUGACCACAAAAAGCACCAAACUCCCUGGAACUGUUUUGGGCAUAGGACCAUGUGUGCGGACAGUCAGAACGUCCACACGGUGGCGUUUCCCCUACACUACAUGGAUCUGAGUGCUAUUUAAAGAACUUGGGUGCUCAGAUCAGGGCUAUUUAAGCAUAUAGAAUUUGUUGGGGUUCCUAUUUGUUUUGUAUGUAUUUUUUUAAGUAUUUUGAUAUUUUAUGUUUUUAUGCCGAGUCACUCUGACACAGGAAUUUGUGGUCAUUUUGUGGGAGUGUUUUGAACGUGUUUUACUGCAUCCUUGUUUUGUAUAUAAGAGGGCCAUUUGGCCAUGAUUAAACACGUUCGUUUCCACCCUUCAUCAAGUCUAGGCUGAUGUUUGGGGAAUUGGGAGCUAUAAUCACUGCUUCACUGGGGAUUUGGGAGAACAAUAGUGGAUAUACUCAGCCGUAUAGGGGAUCCGUUACAUUCAGAAUAUACUUUAGAUUGUCUCUAGUUCUCCCAACACAUUUACAUAAAAACUACUGUACCAUGCAGUAUGGAAGAUCAUUUUGCUAGUUAGAAAAUUAAAUAAAUGGAACAAUAAGAGGUCCUUACAGUGAUUUGAAGUGGUUAUGGUGCUUGAGGUUUGUAUAUGCAGCGUUUAACUAUGAAACGCUGCACAUGCAGAGUGUAACCCCUUUGGAGACACAUUGAGUCAUUAUUAGCCAGCCCAGAACAUAAGUUCCAGGUUGGUUAAUACUAGUUCUGGACAUAUUGGGCGACUGUAUUCGGCACGCACAGGUGGCUCAAGUCCCCCUUCAUGCCGCCUAAAUACAAGAGAGUCAGUGAGCCAAGAGAACUUGAUGCAGGAGCAGAGGUAGGUUUUAGCUUUAAUUAAAUUUUUUUUAUAGUUUGAAGUGGAGUCCAGGAUAGGAAGGGUUAUUCAAACCAAAAAAAAGUAUUUAUUAAAAAACCUUUUUGGCUGGAGUAACCCUUAUAUUUUGAAGGUUCCCAAGUAAAGAGGGUAUCUCAUCUCUACUGGUAUUGGUCUGGUCUACAAGCCUUGAGCAUCACACAAGAAGUUGAGAUAAUGUGAAGUGAAGAGACUGAUAUCUAAACUUCAGGCACAUUUAUCUUGAUAUAUAUAAAUGUGUUGUUAUUUUUUCUAACAUGCUGUCAUGCCACUCAACUUUUCCCUGAGAGUGCCUGCGACUAGGAUAGAAGAGCCAGGAAGUAGGCAGUGACAAGGGGCAGGCUUCUUCAUAAAUUUGGCAGUCUGCCGCAAAAGGAGCAUUGCAGCCUAGCAUGACCAUUCAGUACAGUGUGAGCACGUCUAAUAACGUGCUUGCGUUGCUCUGGCCAAGGGCAGUUCUGUAGAUUCCGUUGAUGCAUGUCAGUCGGAAAGGACUGCAAUACGGGACCGUCCUGCUGGAUCUGGGACUGAUCAGAGUUUUGUAGUGUACAGAUUAAUUUUUAAAAAUUUCUUGAAACAGCCUUGGUUCGCCAUUCAUUAGUAGUUCUCAUGAUUACUUUACAUUGAUGUGCAUUUUCUUUCUCUGCUCUACCAAACUCAUUAAUUCAAUGUUUGUAAAGUUUUGUCUCCACAGUACGCUUCCAAUUUUCUCAUACGAAAACGUAGAGCUAACUCGUUCUUGGAAGAAGGCAAAGCAGGAAAUCUUGAGAGAGAAUGCAUUGAAGAACUGUGCAAUAGAGAGGAAGCAAGGGAAAUUUUUGAAAAUGACCCCGAAACGG